UGUCCUUUUGAUGGACCUUCCUAGGCUGUUUCUAUCUCUCUCUCUCCUUAUCCGCGGAAAACCAAAUAAUUAGUUAUCACAGUUCCUAUAUUCCUUGUAUAUGCAUUGACAAAACUACUCACUUUUUUUUCUGUCUUUCUUUUCUCGUGUUCUUUAUCUCUCUCGCUAGCUCAUAGCAGAAGUAAAAGGCCUUUAUUUAUAAUUUAUAAAUAUAAGCAAAGGAGAUAACAGAUAAUAAGAAACUAAGCAUGAAUGGUGCUGCAUGUGUUGAGGCAGAGUGUUGUGAGUAUGUGGAAGUUGAUCCCACGGGAAGAUAUGGAAGAGUACUUUUCAAGGUUAUGGCCAGGCUUUGGUUUUCUCAGAGGACUAGAAGUUAGAUUCGUGCAACAUGUUUGGCCUUGCCAUUGAGACUAUAAGGUUUCCACAUCUAUGGCCUCAGAGGCCAUCCGGAUUCAGGUAAUAACCAAAAUAGCAGUCCAAUAAGAUUAAAAUAUAUUUUUCAAUUCCACAACAUAUUUCAAUGUUUAGUUUUAAUCUCUACAGAUUGAUAUUACAUUUACUAAAAGUGAUAUAGUUUUAGUCCUUCGUUAGGACUAAAAACACAACUUUGAUCAGUGUUGGGAUAAUCAUAGCUGGUGCUUUUGUCGCUGGAGCUCGUGACUUGGCAUUUGAUGCUUUUGCCUAUUCAGUUGUAUUUAUAGAAAAACAUAUGUAAGGGAGUAUACCUCGCUUCUGUUUCUCGUGUAGGCAAGAUUUCAUCAUUUCCUUGUUUUGUCUCAUUCUUUUGAUUACUUUAGGCAUUCUUCAGUUACUAUUUUCACAUUUUCAACUUUUCAUAGGUAAAUCCAGCGGCCUUAAGUUUUGUUUAAUCUCCAAUUAAUGUCAUUGGAUCCUAUCAUGAUAAUUGCACCCAUCUUAACUUUUUUA